rnacentral:rRNA from 1 species
AGAGUUUGAUUAUGGCUCAGGAUGAACGCUAGCGACAGGCUUAACACAUGCAAGUCGAGGGGUAACAGGGUAGCAAUACCGCUGACGACCGGCGCACGGGUGAGUAACGCGUAUGCAACCUGCCUAUAACUGGGGAAUAGCUCCCUGAAAGGGGAAUUAACACCGCAUAACACUAUUGAUUCGCAUGGAUUGGUAGUUAAAUGUAGCGAUACAGGUUAUAGAUGGGCAUGCGUGACAUUAGCUAGUUGGUGAGGUAACGGCUCACCAAGGCUACGAUGUCUAGGGGUUCUGAGAGGAAGGUCCCCCACACUGGUACUGAGACACGGACCAGACUCCUACGGGAGGCAGCAGUGAGGAAUAUUGGUCAAUGGGCGCAAGCCUGAACCAGCCAUGUCGCGUGCAGGAAGACUGCCCUAUGGGUUGUAAACUGCUUUUAUAGUAGAAGAAACACAUCUACGUGUAGAUGUCUGCCAGUAUACUAUGAAUAAGCAUCGGCUAACUCCGUGCCAGCAGCCGCGGUAAU